rnacentral:misc_RNA from 1 species
UACAUCAAUUCUUGGUACAACAAACUCUUUGUAUUGUUAGAAACAAAAUGAAGAAGAAAUAAGAGAGUAUGAUUACAUCAACAUCUUAUUAAUGAGAUAAUAUACAUGAUGUGUACUCUCCUCCUCCGCUAAGUAGCCUGUCUUUCAUCCUUUCACCUGAAUCCACCACCUAUGCUACGAUUUAUCAUCAUGAAUUUAUUACAACAAGAACAAGAGGAUGUCUAUGAUACACUCAAUUGUCUGGAUUUCUCCAUCUAUGUGAAAUUGGCAUCGAUUAUCAAAUUCGACGUCCUAUCCUAAAAGCUUUGCCUCUGCACAAGUCUCACAUAACCAACCCUAACCAACAGCUUGCAAAUGAGAUCAACUUUACAAGGAAAAUUGAACCAGCUUCACCUUGUGGUCCACAAAACAAUCAAUGAAACUCAAGCCCAAUCAAUCAUGGCUUCUAUAUACACUCUUUAACAAAACAAUUGUUUUCUCUUGGGAGAAAAUCUUAACCAAUGCAUGUAUCCCAACACGUCCCAGAGAACAGGUGUUUGUGUUCAUGUCAUGAGCAUUUCAAUAGAAGUCCCCCUCUAUAAAAUCACAUUGGAAGUUGACUGGAAAAAUCGUGAAACCUCCCUAGUUGUUCAGCUUCAAAUGGCUUAGAAACCCAUCCAUUCCACACUUCAGGCAUUCCUCAUGUGUAGCUUGGAUUACAUCUGCAGUCAUUGCUAAGAUGGGAACAUGCCAAUUUGGAACAUUUUCAUAGGUUCCAACUGAAGCAUCUCCAUUUUG